rnacentral:ncRNA from 2 species
CUCCGCGUAACGAUACUUGGUGCCGCGACGGUCAGUUGGACCGCCGCGAGAACAGGGAACUUCGGUGAGAUUCCGAGACGGCCCGGCCGCUGUAUCCGACGCCACGAUUUGCGGUGUUUCCGGCUCGAUUUCUCCGUUUGGGAGGAUCGGAAUGUUAGGCACCGGGAGUCUAAAACCCAUUCCUUUUCUUGGCCAUUGCCGCGAUUUGCUCCGCCAUCCGCGAUUCACUGCGGGUGGAGUUCGGCGAUCUCUCGGUGAGAAGGCGAGGUCUGCGGGAAGCGUCGGGAGUCAGAAGACCUACCAGAUAUCGGGCGUCAAA